rnacentral:rRNA from 1 species
GACGAACGCUGGCGGCGUGCCUAACACAUGCAAGUCGAGCGAGUGAAUCUCCUUCGGGAGUGAAGCUAGCGGCGGACGGGUGAGUAACACGUGGGCAACCUGCCUCAUAGAGGGGAAUAGCCUUUCGGAAGGAAGAUUAAUACCGCAUAAGAUUGUAGCUUCGCAUGAAGUAGCAAUUAAAGGAGCAAUUCGCUAUGAGAUGGGCCCGGGGCGCAUUAGCUAGUUGGUGAGGUAACGGCCCACCAAGGCGACGAUGCGUAGCCGACCUGAGAGGGUGAUCGGCCACAUUGGGACUGAGACACGGCCCAGACUCCUACGGGAGGCAGCAGUGGGGAAUAUUGCACAAUGGGGGAAACCCUGAUGCAGCAACGCCGCGUGAGUGAUGACGGCCUUCAGGUUGUAAAGCUCUGUCUUCAGGGACGAUAAUGACGGUACCUGAGGAGGAAGCCACGGCUAACUACGUGCCAGCAGCCGCCGUAAGAC